UACGGAGGGUCCAAGCGUUAUCCGGAUUCAUUGGGUUUAAAGGGUGCGUAGGCGGAAUGAUAAGUCAGUGGUGAAAGCCUGCAGCUUAACUGCAGAACUGCCAUUGAUACUGUCAAUCUUGAGUACAUUUGAUGUGGGCGGAAUGUGUCAUGUAGCGGUGAAAUGCUUAGAUAUGACACAGAACACCGAUUGCGAAGGCAGCUCACAAGACUGUAACUGACGCUGAGGCACGAAAGCGUGGGUAGCAAACAGG
rnacentral:rRNA from 1 species